rnacentral:rRNA from 1 species
UACGUAGGGUCCGAGCGUUGUCCGGAAUUAUUGGGCGUAAAGGGCUCGUAGGCGGUUUGUUGCGUCGGGAGUGAAAACUCAGGGCUCAACCCUGAGCGUGCUUCCGAUACGGGCAGACUAGAGGUAUGCAGGGGAGAACGGAAUUCCUGGUGUAGCGGUGGAAUGCGCAGAUAUCAGGAGGAACACCGGUGGCGAAGGCGGUUCUCUGGGCCGAUACUGACGCUGAGGAGCGAAAGCGUGGGGAGCGAACAGG